AGGUUGAUCAUGUUGAGAUAUAUUUGGCUUCCUAUAUGAAGUUAGCAGAAGAAGAUUAAUCUGCAGCAGCGUGAUAAGAGGAAGGAACUAGAUAGACAGCCCAAAGAAGAGAUAUCUAACAGGAGGACAAGUUUAUUCUUUUUCUACACAUUUUAGUGAGAGCGGAUUACCGUCUUAUUUACCACUGAAAUAAACAAUUUGAAGGACUUCUUACCACUAAUAUGACAACUAAGGUCCCGCUUUUGAUACUGGGCCUCUGUCUGAGCCCUGGAGUGCAUGUGCAUGGAGAAGGCAGAGAGGGAUGCAACGGACAAUGUGAAGAUGAAGAUGUAGAUGAGUGUGCCUCUCUGAUUCCGAUCUGUGGUCUGGGUGCCAACUGCACCAACACACCAGGCAGCUACUACUGCACUUGUCAUCCAGGAUACAGAUCCUCAAAGGGGGAGGGGUUUCCAGCAGAUUACUCACAUU